AAUGAUAUGUGUUAGAUAAUCUCCACCAUAAGAUACGGGCAAGAGGAAGCAACUGAUCAACACAAGAUGUGUCUGUAGCAAAAGAGGUUCAUUGUCACCCACAAAAGUCUUUCCUCUUAUGCAGAGAAUGGCGUUAGAAAAGAAAAUUCAUUGUACAUGUGAGGUUGUGCAGCAUUUGAUAGAAGUAUGAAGGAAAGAAAAAAGACAAUUCUAAAAAAAUAUCAAUAGUCUCUGUGACCUUACUACGGAUCACCAGAAUAUUUUCGUAAGCAAAUAGUGAUAUAUAUUUUUCAUGAAGUGAGAGAAUGAAAAACAUCACGUAUAUAUCGAAUGAUUUAAUAAUAUAUAAAAGCAUCGUCGUUUCCAUCGCUGUUCGCGUCUUUUGGUUAAAGCGAAAGUUUAUAUCAAUGUGGGUCAUAAACUUUGGAUC